GUGCUUGCUUCAGCAGCACACAUACUAAAGUAGGAACAAUAGAAGAUUAACAUGGCUCCUGCACAAGGAUAACUUGUAAAUUCAUGAAGGGUUCCAUAUUUUU